UGGGAUGUAGCUUAGUGGUAAAGCAUUUGCCUAGCAUGUGUGAGUCCCUGGGUUUAAUCCCUAGCAGUUUAA
rnacentral:tRNA from 1 species